AAGACUCUACUUUCAGGGAUCAUUUCUUUAGUUUGGAACUAGAGGAUUGUGUUUCUGCAGAGGUUGGUCUUGCUGUCCAUGAUGAUGAAUGAAGAUGUUUCCUUCAGAGCAGGAAGCUGGUGAGAAGAUGAGAAUCUUCUUCACUGAUGAAGACUGUUCAGUGUUUCUGGAUGUGACACCGAAGGAGGAAACAUUGUCUGAGUGGA
rnacentral:snoRNA from 1 species